CCAAACUUGGUCAUUUAGAGGAAGUAAAAGUCGUAACAAGGUCUCCGUUGGUGAACCAGCGGAGGGAUCAUUACCGGGUCUUACGACUGCCCGAACCCACCAUUGUGCAACUUGCAAAACCUUUUCCGCUGCGGCGGGCCGCUCGCUGGGGGAGCCGCCCGGGCCGCAAGGCUGACCCGCCGCAGUGAUCGCAAACCCGUCUCCAAGGCACGAAGCUCCGAGGCAAGCUCUGAGAGGCACUGAAGCCUUUUGAAAGGCAAUCUAGUCACAACCCACAACAAUGGAUCUCUUGGCUCCGGCAUCGAUGAAGAACGCAGC
rnacentral:misc_RNA from 1 species